rnacentral:lncRNA from 13 species
UCUAGCUACCUUAAGAUGAAUGCACGAACUGUCAGUGGCACUGGAUGAGAACAUCUGCUAAAUGACAAAAAAUGUAAAUGAAAUGUGUUGUGACCAUUACCGUGACGCCAUGUCCCAGUGUUCAGCCAUGCCUUCCUCCCUGUAGUGACCAAUAGGUUUGAUAUCCAAUACAGAUCAUCCUGGAUAAGAACAUCUGCUAAAUGUAAAUGAAAUGUGUGGUGACCAUUACCGUGACGCCAUGUCCCAGUGUUCAGCCAUGCCUUCCUCCCUGUAGUGACCAAUAGGUUUGAUAUCCAAUACAGAUCAUCCUGGAUAAGAACAUCUGCUAAAUGUAAAUGAAAUGUGUGGUGACCAUUACCGUGACGCCAUGUCCCAGUGUUCAGCCAUGCCUUCCUCCCUGUAGUGACCAAUAGGUUUGAUAUCCAAUACAGAUCAUCCUGGAUAAGAACUGUUAUGGUGAGUGAAUGAGGACCCAAAAGCGAACUAACUUAAACAGAGCUUCUUUAAUAACCAAACAUAGGUAGGCUCAGAUAGACCGGCAGAUUCCGAUAGGACAGGACAAGGUUACAGCAAACAUGACGACAGUCUGGUUCAGGCAUGAAUGACACAAACAAACAAGAAUCCGACAAGGACAGGAGCAGAAACAGAGAGAGAUAUUGGGACCUAAUCAGAGGGAAAAAAGGGAACAGGUGGGGAACGGGGUGAAUGGGUAGUUAGAGGAGACAAGGGACAGCUGGGGGAAAGCGGGGGAGAAAAGGUAACCUAACACGACCAGCAGAGGGAGACAGGGUGAAGGGAAAGGACAGAGACAAGACAACAUGACAGUACAUGACAGUACCCCCCCACUCACCGAGCGCCUCCUGGCGCACUCGAGGAGGAAACCUGGCGGCAACGGAGGAAAUCAUCAAUCAGCGCACGAAAAAAGGGAACAGGUGGGGAACGGGGUGAAUGGGUAGUUAGAGGAGACAAGGGACAGCUGGGGGAAAGCGGGGGAGAAAAGGUAACCUAACACGACCAGCAGAGGGAGACAGGGUGAAGGGAAAGGACAGAGACAAGACAACAUGACAGUACAUGACAAGAACAUCUGCUAAAUGUAAAUGAAAUGUGUUGUGACCAUUACCGUGACGCCAUGUCCCAGUGUUCAGCCAUGCCUUCCUCCCUGUAGUGACCAA